CGGGUCGUAAAGCACUUUCUGAGAGAUGAGCAAGGACAGUAUCUCAGGAAUAAGUCUCGGCUAACUACGUGCCAGCAGCCGCGGUAAAACGGUAGGAGGCAAGCGUUAUCCGGAUUCACUGGGGCGUAAAGGCGUGCGCAGGCGGUUUCUUAAGCCAGACGUGAAACUCCCCGGGCUUAACCUGGGAACUGCGUUUGGAACUGGGAGACUAGAGUGUGUCAGAGGGAGGUGGAAUUCCGCGUGUAGCAGUGAAAUGCGUAGAUAUGCGGAGGAACACCGAUGGCGAAGGCAGCCUCCUGGGAUAACACUGACGCUCAUGCACGAAAGCGUGGGGAGCAAACAGGAUUAGAUACCCUGGUAGUCCACGCCCUAAACGAUGUCAACUGGCUGUUGGGAGAGAAAUCUUUCAGUAGCGAAGCUAACGCGUGAAGUUGACCGCCUGGGGAGUACGGCCGCAAGGUUGAAACUCA
rnacentral:rRNA from 1 species